UGCUUAACACUGAUUCUCUGGUAAGGGUUUGUCCCAACUCAUGAGCUAGGAAAUAGCUAGGGCUAUUUUCAGUAGCUAGAAAAUUACACUACUGCCACUCACGCCAGCCCGCUUUGCUCAGCUGCUCAUUUCAAAGGGAGCACUAGUAUCUGUGGGAAGUAAGGAUCCCUUGCAAGAGGCUUUCUCUUUGUUUCUUUUACCAGGACUAUGUUGGGCUGAGAGGCAUCUUUGCUGUUAGCUGUGCGGCAUUCACCCUUGCCAGUCUUUGCUCUCCUGGCAUUUACAUCUGUUCCUCCACUGGUAUCUACCACCUGGUUGGGGGUAACUUACUCCUUUGCUGCUGCUAGUAUGUGGUCAUCCAUACCUCUUGUGGUCCCUCAAGCAACUUCAGGGACAGCUAUGGGCUUGCAACUUCUGUUCAGAUGCUUGGAAUUGGUUUUUCAAAUCUUAUUGUUGGACACAUUCUAGGAACAAAGUCCAGGGUGGGACACUGAACAGAACAAGAAAGGGAGCACCUGUGGAGCAGGACGACAGAGAGCCCGCAGAUACCACACCGCUCCUUGAUGAUGAAAGGAGAAACAAGGGCUCUGUCAACUGAACCUGAGCAGUCUGAGGACAAUAAUAGCUGCCAGACACAUCACUAAUCACUUCAGCUUUAAAGCAGACUUUUAGUCUGCCUAUCUUUAAAGGGAGUCACGGAGGAAACUACGUACUGAAACAGAACGUUUCCACUUUCUUGUAUCCGGCACACAAACGAAACAUGGCUGCCACGUGGUUCCUAGGCAUUGGUACACAGCCAGCGUAUAGAGACCUCCACUGGGCACCUUGAGAACUACACUACAUAAGUAAAUAACAGCUGAAGCUUGAUCUCGAGCCAUUAGGCUCUGUAUAUCAGAACUUGCUAAACCAGGUACCUUGAAAGGCCUGUUUUACUUACUGCUCUGCGUUAGCACGCAUCAUUUACAAAUUAGAUAUCCCAAGUAACACCAUCAUUAUUCUUUAGGCAGGAGGUAGAAGACCAGGUAAAUCAAAGGGAUUAGGUUUUGUACACAAGCAUAGCUUAAUUGCAUUUUACCUUACAGCAAUGCUUCCACAAGCAGUGCCUAUUCAUUUGCCCACAAAAACAUAAAAGGUUUUGAUCCAAAAUUCUGUCCUUUAAACCAGGGUGCUCUUACGAAUGCUAAGGGCUGUUUUACUCAGCCAAUUACCCUUUUCACCACGCAAAACUCAAACACUUGCAAAGUGUUUACAAAAGCACAAAGGAUGCUUCAAGAAUGAAGUAAACUUUCGCAUAGCCAAAUAUAAGAAAUGCUGAAAUGAAUGCCUUAAAUAAAUUCUUAAGAGAAAAAGUUCUCUUUAAGUUGCAUUUAAUAUAAAUGCUGGUAGACUGAUGGCAGUUUAGCCACUGACAACAUCCGGUCUUAAGUGGUGGUAACAAGAUAAAUCCACACAUUAAAGCAAAAUUUUCUUAAACUGAGUAUUCCCACAGACGGAGACUCUACUACUGCUGGGCAACCUGUUCCU